AAGCUCAAAUUUGAAAUCUGGCGUUCACCGUCCGAGUUGUAAUUUGGAGGGGUAUCUUCGGGGACGACGCCGUUCUAUGUUCCUUUGAACAGGACAUCACAGAGGGUGAGAAUCCCGUGCUUGGGCGGUUUGUCGCGACCAUGUGAAGUGCCUCCGACGAGUCGAGUUGUUUGGGAAUGCAGCUCAAAAUGGGUGGUAAAUUUCAUCUAAAGCUAAAUACUGGCGAGAGACCGAUAGCGCACAAGUAGAGUGAUCGAAAGAUGAAAAGAACUUUGAAAAGAGGGUCAAACAGUACGUGAAAUUGUUGAAAGGGAAGCGCUUGAGAUCGAACUCAGCCGGUGGCGCACAGCCGAGCUUCUGCUCGGUGCACUGGUCACCGGCUGGGCCAGCAUCGGUUCCGACGGCGGGAUAAAGGGUCGGGAAACGUGGCUCGCUUCGCGCGAGUGUUAUAGUCCCGCGCCGCAAUACCGCCAGUCCGGG
rnacentral:rRNA from 1 species